AUGAAUCGGUUUCAAAACAAUAACGCAAUAUUAAUACUUCUGUACAAAGUUCCCUGCGAGCCGCCGAUCCCUCCAUGCACAACCUUCUUCCAUCACCGGCAAAGACCGAAGCUCCAUCGGACCAUCACGAUUCCGGGGACCUCCGAUCAACACCAGUCUGCCACCGACUUGACAGCCGACGGUUCUCUGAUCGCGACACCUCCGAGGACCACCUCCGGAUCCGCCGCUUUACCUUCAGUUAAUUCAUUUUUCUGCCUUUUGAUAUCACUUCUAUGUUGUUGGUGUAGAAUUCUUUAA